AGGCGGAGUUCAAGCUCCACAACUGACCAAAAAAAAGGGGGGAGAUCAAAUGGGGAGGGGGCUGAGUAAGUAAUGUGUGUUUCAAAGUACUAUGAGUUGCCUUUGUUCUUAUAUUCUACAGCAAUGGAAGAUGAAACUACACUGGGCUUGGAACCCGGUGAAGGACUGAGAUAUAGACUUAGGUGCACACAUUUAGGUGCCAAGCUUAUUCUAGCUGCACAAAAUCCAUACAUGUUAUUAUAAAUGGUAUAGUUUCUAACCAAACUUGUAAAAUCUAGUAAUGACCUAAAUAUCUUGGUCACUUUUAUUUAAGCAGUAACAUAUAAUUGAAAGUAAAAGCAAAAUUUAAUUUUUACAUAUUAAAGUGUUUAGUCUAUACUUAAUUUUCCACCAAGCCCUGCACAAUUUUUCAGCUAAGGAUUCUAACUUUUCUGAAAGAGCAGUUUUAAAGGGACAUGAACUAAACUGAAUUGGAUAACAUUUCU